rnacentral:rRNA from 1 species
GACGAACGCUGGCGGCGUGCCUAAUACAUGCAAGUAGAACGCUGAAGGAGGAGCUUGCUUCUCUGGAUGAGUUGCGAACGGGUGAGUAACGCGUAGGUAACCUGCCUGGUAGCGGGGGAUAACUAUUGGAAACGAUAGCUAAUACCGCAUAAGAGUAGAUGUUGCAUGACAUUUGCUUAAAAGGUGCAAUUGCAUCACUACCAGAUGGACCUGCGUUGUAUUAGCUAGUUGGUGGGGUAACGGCCCACCAAGGCGACGAUACAUAGCCGACCUGAGAGGGGGGUCCGCCACACUGGGAACGAGACCAGGGCCCAAACCCCUCGGGAGGGAGGCAGAGGGGAUUCUUGGGCAAUGACCGAAGGCCUAACGAGCAACGCCGCGUGAGUGAAGAAGGUUUUCGGAUCGUAAAGCUCUGUUGUAAGAGAAGAACGAGUGUGAGAGUGGAAAGUUCACACUGUGACGGUAUCUUACCAGAAAGGGACGGCUAACUACGUG